rnacentral:rRNA from 1 species
GUAGGUGGGCAAGCGUUGUCCGGGAAUUAUUGGGGCGUAAAGCGCGCGCAGGGCGGUCCUUUAAGUCUGAUGUGAAAGCCCACGGCUCAACCGUGGAGGGUCAUUGGAAACUGGGGGACUUGAGUACAGAAGAGGAAAGCGGAAUUCCAAGUGUAGCGGUGAAAUGCGUAGAGAUUUGGAGGAACACCAGUGGCGAAGGCGGCUUUCUGGUCUGUAACUGACGCUGAGGCGCGAAAGCGUGGGGAGCAAACAGGAUUAGAUACCCUGGUAGUCCACGCCGUAAACGAUGAGUGCUAAGUGUUAGGGGGUUUCCGCCCCUUAGUGCUGCAGCUAACGCAUUAAGCACUCCGCCUGGGGAGUACGGCCGCAAGGCUG